rnacentral:lncRNA from 1 species
CCACAAACGCACACCCAACAACCAUUCCAUUCCUCUCCAGGCAGCAGCACGUUGACAGCCCACAGAUGGAAACCACAGACCAUGGCGAAGUCACAUACUCCACCAUCGCCCACGUUCGACGGGACAGGCCUCGUCCCAUGCAUCAAAUGAGAAACAUCAUGACAUAUGCCACGGUGACCCACACUCAGACCAAAUAGCGCUGCCACAGGGCAAGGGCACAGGAGCCUUGCCCACAGCUGCCUUUGGCCUCCUGCAGAGGGCUCAUGGAGCCAUAACGUGGGGCUAGGGGGUGCACUUUGGUCUUCUUAGGGGUUUGUUUUCUCAGAGAAGGGCUGUGUGUGUCUAGCCAAGAAGAUGUAGGACUCACACCUCCAUCUACAAGACAUUAAUACUUCUAAAAUAUAUGACCUAUACCAAAUCUUACUGUGACUGUAUUGAUUUUUUCUCAACAAAAGAAAACAUCUCGCUGUGCUCAGUGGAUGAUGUGUAUACCUAAGUUGCAUUAUAAUGCCAUGGGGGUGUUAUUCUACCCACCCACAGAGAUGCCCAUUUUUGACCUACAUGGACAGAUAUCACUGCAGGCA